GCCUGGGUGGCUCAGUUGGCUAAGCAUCUGGCUUCGGCUCAGGUCAUGAUCUCGUGGUUUGUGGGUUCAAGCUCCACAUCAGGCU
rnacentral:tRNA from 1 species